GCAUUUCAUUAUGCUCUAGAUAGAUUCCAGGCAGGGAAGAUUAGGAAUUACAGCAGCAAAGCAAUUGUAAAUAGGAAAUUUAUCUUUAAAAGCCAACUAAAGUCAACUAAAUGAAAUUUCAUUAGCUCUGAGAUUGACAAUGGUUGUUUGGAGCUACUUUUGAUUAGGUUUGGCAUUGAUCAACAUGUCAGACUUGUGAUUGGUACUGUGAGUGAACCCUCUUUCAUGAGUUUUUUCAAGAAGCACAUAUAGGUUUCAGGGAAUUUCCUGUUAAAUAGGUCCACAUUAUUAUAGGUACUUUUGUAAGUUUUUAAGUUAGUUUUCAUUCUUAGCAAAUUGUAUUAAUUGUUCAUCUGUUUGUUCCCCAUUGAGCUUCUUGGAUGUUUUGAUUAGAUAUGUUUAGUUGGUGUUUUAUAUAAUUGUACAAUUAAAUUCUUGAUACUUGUUACUUUCAUUAUUCUAGAUGAUAGAUGACCUGUGCAUGUUUAUCAAUGCAUGCUAUGAAUUGGGUCAUUCAGGUCAUGGUUUGCAAAGACCUUUCCGAA
rnacentral:misc_RNA from 1 species